rnacentral:lncRNA from 1 species
GGAGGACGUUGGGAAGGGUGUGAUACAGUAAGCCUAUAGCAGAAUGUCCCAGACCGUGGGACAGCGAGCCUCUGAGCGGCAGUAUGCUUGGAAAAACAUCAGGGAAAGGUGGUUUGGGGCUAGCAUUGGUGGGACUCUGGGAUUUGAAUGACCCUGCACUCACUGUCACACACGCAGUCACCUGCUCUUGGUUGUGGGGCACAGGGAAACAAAAACCAAGCAAUCCCUGCCUUCAAGGAGGUAAUAAUCCCAUUAGUGACUCAGGAUACAAACACCUUGAAAAAAAUGCUUGGAGAAUAAGAAAGAACAAGUGGAAAAUGAGCUGUGAAGAGGACAGAAGAGGGGUCAGGAGAGACUCUCACGGCCUGGCAGCACCUGAGAAGAUAAGAAGGGCAGGUGCUUCUUAUCUUAAGGUGCUGACCUUAAGGACAGCAGGACUCAAUUCAGCUGAACUUCCAGUGACCUCCGAGAGAAAGGCAGUGAGUAGGGCUCAUCAAAACAUCCAGGUCUAAGGAAGCCAUGAUGUUCAGGGACAGCAACGAGGAAAUGAAACCAAAGACUAAGAACUCCUGGAGGCCAUCAAACCCCUGUUUAGCAUCAGCUCUGACAAGAAGGUCUCAAAUUCUUAAGUGCCU